UACGUAGGAGGCAAGCGUUGUCCGGAAUUACUGGGCGUAAAGCGCGUGUAGGUGGUGGGACAAGUCUGCUGUGAAAGCGCCUGGCUUAACCGGGCGAGGUCGGCGGAAACUGUCCGACUCGAGGACGGUAGAGGGGGGUGGAAUUCCCGGUGUAGUGGUGAAAUGCGUAGAGAUCGGGAGGAACACCUGUGGCGAAGGCGGCUCUCUGGGACGGUACUGACGCUGAGACGCGAAAGCGUGGGGAGCGAACAGG
rnacentral:rRNA from 1 species